UGAAAGGCUAAUUAAUCCAUUGUUAUCAAGCUAGCAGAUAUCUGAAUACUCCAUGACUUUACUAUGGAGAUGCCAAAAUAACAGAUCUGACCUAUUAGAACAGCUUGAGCAAACAUUUGCUAGUAAACGCAUUGAAUCUUGAUGCAUGGUUGUAUAAAUAUAUAUUUAUGGACUAUAAAUUUUGAUGAAGAGUAGAGUUGUCAUGAGCAGCUAAUCUCACCCAGCUUGCCAUUCUCAAGAGAAUGCUGAUUAUCGCUGCUGCAUUGUCAUCUGUCUAAACAAGUUAAUUAACUGUAUGUCUCUACAGUCAGCCUUCCAGCCACUGUGCCCCAAGGCUGUAGUGAUGCACGGGAUUGUUGCGAACAAAAUGCAAGACCUAACACAUGGUCUUAACAAAGCUUAUGCUGCUGGCCUCAGCCCAGUGAUCCAGCCUAUCCAGAUCCCUCUGAAGGACCUCACUACUCCCAGGCAGAUUGGCACUACCUCCCAGCCUACUGUCAUCCAAAAACUUACUGAGGUGUGAUUGUCCAGCCAGUUUUUUAUCCAGGGAAGAGUACGCCUGCCCAAGUUAUGGGCUGCCAGCUUCAGUGCAGACAUGCCUUUAAUACUGCCCAUAUUCAAUGUAUAAGCUGCUUCUCAGAUGACUGCCAGAAUGUAGCAAAGCUGGAAAGCUUUCUGCUUUGAACACAACAAAGUAAAGUUUUCUGUAUGGUCACAGUCAUCCAAUUAUAUUUCUCUGUUGAGGAAGAAAAGGUACAAGCAGUCCAAGGGUUCAUUUGAUCCUUUUGCAAGAAUACAAACCUGAGCAAAAAAUACUGGGUCGCAGGGCAGCAAGUGGUUUGUACUGCUAUUCAUGGGAUCCAGAAAAGUUGAAUUACAUUGUUAUUUUUAUUAUUAUUGUUGUUGUUGUUAUUGUUUUAUCAUAACUAUUCAUCUGGUUACACUGAAUGUGGAGUCAGUAUAAUUUUUAGCAUUGUCAUUGUAAAUGAUUCUGUUUGUCCUUGUUUACCAGUCACAGACUGUUCACAUAAACUCUCUGGAGAUCUUUUACAACAGCAUUUUGUGAUGUCUUAAUAACAUGCAACAUUCUUGACAGUAUUGUUGGCAGUCCCAGAAAGACAGAAGUAACAAUAAUCUCAGAACAAACUGAAAACUAAUUUCUGUCAAAAAAGUUUGCUGCAUUGAAAGACAAUUUUUUUUUUUUUUUUACCCAUUAAAGUAGAAUAUUCAACUUGAAGCUCUUUCCAGUUGCAUAUUCAACUUGAAGCUCUUUCCAGUUGCAAUCGUUUUGAAACACAGGCACAUUUUUUCUCCCCAGAAGAAGAGAUGAGAGAAAAGGAAAUUCAAAACAAGAAGCUGGUUUGAAAAUCAUUUCAUUUGGAAAAUUCAAAAGAAAAUUUCUUCUUGUCUUCCUUUGUUUUCAGUCCUUGAAAAGAGCAAUUCAGUGAAAUGAGUUGAUGUAAUCUUCCAGGAAGAACUAAUUUGCAGUUCU
rnacentral:lncRNA from 1 species